UGGUGGUAAGGGCUGGGGAGUUCGGCCUGCCCUCUCAAGGAAGGCUUAAGCCUCCUUGAGCCGCAAACGGUCGUCAUGGCGGGGCCAGUAACCGGGAAGGGCGGUCAGCUGAACGCUAAGCUGUGCGGUCGAAGCGUCUAUGAAGCUUCGCCCCGUGGGGCUGGCAUAGGAGGCCAAGCCCCUCGAAGGAGGGGUCCAAGCCUCCGAACCAGUCGAACCAGGUUAGGCCCGGGAGAGGCGCUGAACAGCGUCCUCGAAGGAGCGGCCUUAAGGCUGGGUGUCAGCGUUCACGGGUUUACGGAGCUGAGAACGCUUGACUAAAACAGCUUAGCGGGAGGCGACCCACCUUCCUGGGGCACCACCG
rnacentral:SRP_RNA from 1 species